UCCAGGCGAAACGCAGCGCGCACCGCCCGGGCGGCGCCCAGCAUGGAGUGGAAGCUGAAUCUGCUGCUCUACCUAGCGCUCUUCUUCUUUCUGCUCUUCCUCCUGUUCCUCCUGCUCUUCGUGGUCAUCAAGCAGCUGAAGAACUCGGUGGCCAAUACGGCCGGGACCCUGCAGCCCGGGCGCCUGUCCCUGCACCGGGAGCCGUGGGGUUUCAAUAACGAGCAAGCGGUGUGACCCAGCUGGCAGGGUUUCAGCUCCACCGGGAUUCAGAUCUAUGUCAUCGGGACCCAGACUGGUGCCCUUGACCGGUGGCACCCAGGACCUAAACUCCUAGGAACCCUGCAAAGCUGGGGAGUGGAGGAAAUCUUGCAAAAGGUUCUUAUGUGGUCUCCGUGGCUCCCCACCGGAAGGAAGAAGCAGGGAGGAAAACAGCGCGCGCCUGUCCGAGUCCAUCUUCCUUCUAAAGAGUUUCCCGGGGGCCAGGACGACUUCACGGGCCACUGUCUUUGAACAAUAUGGAUGCUGUCGCCUUCAACCAAACCCCAAGUUCUCUAGAUUAGGGCAAAGGAUCCUGGGUGGACAAGAACCAGAAGUCUAUGAUCUAGUACAAAGCACUGUUGUGCGGAAAGCAGUGUUCAAGAUGGAACUCCUGGUUCCCUCGCAGCCCCAAGCCAUGUGGCUGAGCAGAGUGACGAUGUCUCCCUAGCUCUCAAGAAAUGUUUGUCAGGACUGGCUUCCCCUCUGGUCAGCUGACUCCCCUGUACCAGGGUUUUCUAGGCAUGUAGCCUGGAAGCCUGCACAUUUGUGUGUGUUGGGGGAUCUGGAGGUUGAGGGGUCUUCAUAAUCUCAUGGAGCUUUGGUGUAGGAUCAAUGUAGGUUGUUUCCUUUUGCUCUUUUUUGGUCCCCUCCAUCACAUUCCAGUUACUUACAUUUUGGUGGCAGCUAAGUUUGUGUAUUUGGUUCCUAUAAAGGCUAUCCCUUCCGUGCACAAGGAAAGGGACACUGCUCAGAAAGGCUACCUCUCUUCCUUCCACCCUCGAUCCAGGAAUAUCCCGGGAGAUCGCCUCUCGAGCUGCUUCUACUCACAGCCUACGUACUGGCCAAGCCGAGGGAGAAGAAACACUUCCCACACCCAGAGCUGUGCAAAAGAACUUUCUGUGAUAUGAAACUGUUCUAUAUCUGUGGUGCCCAAUACGGCAACUACUUGUCACACGUGUCUAGUAAACACUGAAAUAUGGCUAGCAGGGCUUAGAUUUUAUUUCAUUUUACCCGAGACAGCCACAUGGGGCUGAUGGCUAUUGUAUGUACAGUUAGUUCACACCAUUCUCUUUGUGUGUGUGUGUGUGUGUGUGUGUGUGUGUGUGUGUGUGUGUGUGUGUAUGUAUGUAUUUUAGAGUCAAAGUGGGGAGGUGGCUGCUAGCCAUGGGCUCUACAUCCCACGGUCUUCAUUUUCUUGCUUUCAGUUUUUCUCCUUGAUGAAAAAGAAAGUCAGUAUGUUAGCUCUGAAUUGAGAAUGCUAUCAUCUACCUAUUGCAUGUCUUCCUGUACCAAAUGGGAUAGGUUUUAGUGAUAAUUGACCAUGGUAAAAAUGGCAGUGUUGAUUCACCACAUCUCCAUGUUCCCAGUCCUUGCCCUUGACCAAGGUCACAUUGUCCUACACACUUUAUUCCAUUUUAGUUCCCUUUUUAAUAUUGUGAAUCCCAAGCAAUUAUUGUAUAUUGUUUUCAAAAUAUCUAGUGGUUUAUAUUUUUUAAGGUUGUAAAAUAAAAAUUAAC